rnacentral:rRNA from 1 species
UACGUAAGGGGCUAGCGUUGUCCGGAUUUAUUGGGCGUAAAGAGCGUGUAGGCGGCCAGGUAGGUCUGGUGUGAAAACUCGAGGCUUAACCUCGAGAUGUCAUCGGAAACCAUCUGGCUAGAGUCCGGAAGAGGAAAGUGGAAUUCCUGGUGUAGCGGUGAAAUGCGCAGAUAUCAGGAAGAACACCAAUGGCGAAAGCAGCUUUCUGGGACGGUACUGACGCUGAGACGCGAAAGCGUGGGGAGCGAACAGG